rnacentral:hammerhead_ribozyme from 1 species
AUUCAGCUGAGGAGUCCCAAAUAGGAUGAAAUGUGCAUCCUGGAU